UACGUAGGGUGCGAGCGUUUGUCCGGAAUUAUUGGGCGUAAAGAGCUCGUAGGCGGUUCGUCGCGUCGAAUGUGAAAACCCGGGGCUCAACUCCGGGCCUGCAUUCGAUACGGGCGGACUAGAGUUCGGUAGGGGAGACUGGAAUUCCUGGUGUAGCGGUGAAAUGCGCAGAUAUCAGGAGGAACACCGGUGGCGAAGGCGGGUCUCUGGGCCGAUACUGACGCUGAGGAGCGAAAGCGUGGGGAGCGAACAGG
rnacentral:rRNA from 1 species